GAUCAUGGCUCAGGACGAACGCUGGCGGCGUGCCUAAUACAUGCAAGUAGAACGCUGAAGGAGGGGCUUGCUUCUCUGGAUGAGUUGCGAACGGGUGAGUAACGCGUAGGUAACCUGCCUGGUAGCGGGGGAUAACUAUUGGAAACGAUAGCUAAUACCGCAUAAGAGUAGAUGUUGCAUGACAUUUGCUUAAAAGGUGCAAAUGCAUCACUACCAGAUGGACCUGCGUUG
rnacentral:rRNA from 1 species